UACGGAGGGUGCAAGCGUUAUCCGGAUUCAUUGGGUUUAAAGGGUGCGUAGGCGGAUUUGUAAGUCAGUGGUGAAAUCUCGGAGCUUAACUCCGAAACUGCCAUUGAUACUGCAAGUCUUGAGUACAUCUGAUGUGGGCGGAAUGUGUCAUGUAGCGGUGAAAUGCUUAGAUAUGACACAGAACACCGAUUGCGAAGGCAGCUCACAAAACUGUAACUGACGCUGAGGCACGACAGCGUGGGAUCAAACAGG
rnacentral:rRNA from 1 species